rnacentral:rRNA from 1 species
UACGUAGGGGGCAAGCGUUGUCCGGAAUCAUUGGGCGUAAAGAGCGUGUAGGCGGCCAGAAAAGUCCGCUGUGAAAACUCGAGGCUCAACUUCGAGCUGUCGGUGGAAACUUUCUGGCUAGGAGUCCGGAAGAGGAGAAUGGAAUUCCUGGUGUAGCGGUGAAAGUGCGCAGAUAUCAGGAAGAACACCCGUGGCGAAGGCGGUUCUCUGGGACGGUACUGACGCUGAGACGCGAAGCGUGGGGAGCGAACAGG